UGUAUGUAGUGUUAUGAUAUGAGGGUAGGUUAGUGGUAUGAUAUGAGGGUAGAUUAGUGUUAUGAUAUGAGGGUAGGUUAGUGUUAUAAUAUGAGGGUAGGUUAGUGUUAUGAUAUGAGGGUAGGUUAGUGUUAGACAUGUCUGUAUGUAGUGUUAUGAUAUGAGGGUAGAUUAGUGUUAUGAUAUGAGGGUAGGUUAGUGUUAUGAUAUGAGGGUAGGUUAGUGUUAUGAUAUGAGGGUAGGUUAGUGUUGUGAUAUGAGGGUAGGUUAGUGUUAUGAUAUGAGCGUAGGUUAGUGUUAUGAUAUGAGGGUAGGUUAGUGUUAUUAUAUGUCUGUGUGUAGUGUUAUGAUAUGAGGGUAGGUUAGUGUUAUGAUAUGAGGGUAGGUUAGUGUUAUGAUAUGAGGUGUACGUUAGUGUUUGAUAUGAGGGUAGGUUAGUGUCAUGAUAUGUCUGAAUGUAGUGUUAUGAUAUGAGGGUAGGUCAGUGG
ensembl:lncRNA